rnacentral:misc_RNA from 1 species
UAAGCUCUGCAGCAGCGGCG